GGCCUACCUCUUUGGGGCAAUCGAUCACAGGGCUCUGCCAUCGAUUGCCCCAAAGAGGUAGGCC
rfam:Myotis davidii contig199803, whole genome shotgun sequence.